rnacentral:ncRNA from 1 species
AAUGGUGAACUAUGCCUGGGCAGAUCGAAGCCAGAGGAAACUCUGGUGGAGGUCCAUAGCAGUCCUGACUUGCAAAUUGGUGGUCCGACCUGGGUAUUGGGGCGAAAGACUAAUCGAACCAUCUAGUAG